rnacentral:lncRNA from 1 species
AGAAAGGCAGAAACUCUAGGGUUUCCUGCCUUGGUGCAACAAGCAGGGCCAAUUGGGCUUUUCGAAUUUGGGCUAGCUAGUUUAAUUGGGUCACGGGUGUUUGUGGGUCUGCUGGGUAGUUUAGGCCUAGGUUUGCUGUAUUUGGGCUACGGGACUGCUUUGGGUUUUGGGUAGCAACAGUGGGCCAAUGUAAAUGGACUAUUAUAUUAACUGUUUAAAAACAAUUAUUUAUUUAUUUAUUUUCAAUUUCAAAUCCCG